AGAGAGUGGACUUUGAAAUCAUAAAGUGCCAGAAUCAAUUCUCAGUUUCAUGAGGGAUCAGGUAACAAAACUAUCACGAUUCCGCCUUUUACUUUCUGCUGGAUUCUUGUAGUAAUUAUAACCAGGAUCUUCAGCCAUCUCUUCUAUUAGGAGCCUGAGAGGUUUGUAGCCUCUGAAGAUAAUUUGGGUGUCAGUUGGAAGUCAGCCCAGAAUUGAAAGCCUGCUCUUGCUCUAAGAUGUCACCUGGGACCGUAUCAUCAAUCUGCCCACCUCUCCUGAAUGGCCCUGAUGUCGAUCAGUCUGGUUUCCCGGAGUAUUAAAGUAAUGGGCUCCUGGCUCUAUUUCAGCUCUGUCAAAAUAGCUGCCGAGCCUUUCUAUUGCUUUCCUACAAGGAUUUAAUCUACUCCAAGUUCCCUGACACAUUAUAAGGAGGAAAUCUGUUUUCUCUGUCACUUUUCCUUUCUCAGGCUGGGGCUGCACCAGAACAUCUUUGCUUUGGAUCAGACAGUGCAGACUUGCUAUGAAAGCCGGCGUUCUCAUCCGUGCUAUGAGUUGUCUAACUUAAUCGCCUUGUUUCUCCACACCCCUGAGGCUUUCUGCACGGUGCUCUCUCUGAAAGGGAGACCUUCUAUAUACUCUUGCACAACUUAUUUUCACCUCCACUGUGAAGCGUUUGACCCCUCAAGGAGAAAAAACUACUUGUGGACCUGCAAAAUUCUUUUAAUGCCUAUAAUACUCUUGUGCUGUCUUUUAUUUGUUACUACUAUCUUUUUCUCCUAUUGGACAAUAAACUCU